AGAUGUGAGGGUGAUCUGGCUGCGACAUCUGUCACCCCAUUGAUCGCCAGGGUCGAUUCGGCUGAUCUGGCUGGCUAGGCGGGUGACCCCCUCCUCCCUCACCGCUCCAUGUGCGUCCCUCCCGAAGCGGUGCGCUCAGUCGAAGAAGACAGCCUUCCCCGAAUAGAGACGGACCGGUCUUUGGUCGACGGUAUACGAGUAGCUGCGCUCCCCUACUAGAACCUCCAAACAAGCUCUCAAACGGCAUGUUCCACACCCAAUCCUUCAAGAACACUGUCCACGGUGGUUGGCAAAUCCGAUGU
ensembl:misc_RNA 7SK 7SK RNA